CCUAACACAUGCAAGUCGAGCGAGAAAGCCCUUCGGGGUGAGUAGAGCGGCGGACGGGUGAGUAACGCGUGGGAAUCUAUCCAGUAGCGGGGGAUAACUUAGGGAAACUUAAGCUAAUACCGCAUACGCCCUACGGGGGAAAGGAGGGGAUCUUCGGACCUUUCACUAUUGGAGGAGCCCGCGUCAGAUUAGCUAGUUGGUGGGGUAAAGGCCUACCAAGGCGACGAUCUGUAGCUGGUCUGAGAGGAUGAUCAGCCACACUGGAACUGAGACACGGUCCAGACUCCUACGGGAGGCAGCAGUGGGGAAUAUUGCACAAUGGAGGAAACUCUGAUGCACCCAUGCCGCGUGUGUGAAGAAGGCCCUAGGGUUGUAAAGCACUUUCAGCGAGGAGGAAAGGAUGUAAGUUAAUACCUUGCAUCUGUGACGUUACUCGCAGAAGAAGCACCGGCAAACUCCGUGCCAGCAGCCGCGGUAAUACGGAGGGUGCGAGCGUUAAUCGGAAUUACUGGGCGUAAAGCGCGCGUAGGUGGUUUGUUAAGCCAGAUGUGAAAGCCCCGGGCUCAACCUGGGAACUGCAUUUGGAACUGGCAGACUAGAAUACAGUAGAGGGUAGUGGAAUUUCCUGUGUAGCGGUGAAAUGCGUAGAUAUGGGAAGGAACACCAGUGGCGAAGGCGGCUACCUGGACUGAUAUUGACACUGAGGUGCG
rnacentral:rRNA from 1 species